CCUAACACAUGCAAGUCGAACGGUAACAGGAAGAAGCUUGCUUCUUUGCUGACGAGUGGCGGACGGGUGAGUAAUGUCUGGGAAACUGCCUGAUGGAGGGGGAUAACUACUGGAAACGGUAGCUAAUACCGCAUAACGUCGCAAAACCAAAGAGGGGGACCUUCGGGCCUCUUGCCAUCGGAUGUGCCCAGAUGGGAUUAGCUAGUAGGUGGGGUAACGGCUCACCUAGGCGACGAUCCCUAGCUGGUCUGAGAGGAUGACCAGCCACACUGGAACUGAGACACGGUCCAGACUCCUACGGGAGGCAGCAGUGGGGAAUAUUGCACAAUGGGCGCAAGCCUGAUGCAGCCAUGCCGCGUGUAUGAAGAAGGCCUUCGGGUUGUAAAGUACUUUCAGCGGGGAGGAAGGGAGUAAAGUUAAUACCUUUGCUCAUUGACGUUACCCGCAGAAGAAGCACCGGCUAACUCCGUGCCAGCAGUCGCGGUAAUACGGAGGGUGCAAGCGUUAAUCGGAAUUACUGGGCGUAAAGCGCACGCAGGCGGUUUGUUAAGUCAGAUGUGAAAUCCCCGGGCUCAACCUGGGAACUGCAUCUGAUACUGGCAAGCUUGAGUCUCGUAGAGGGGGGUAGAAUUCCAGGUGUAGCGGUGAAGUGCGUAGAGAUCUGGAGGAAUACCGGUGGCGAAGGCGGCCCCCUGGACGAAGACUGACGCUCAGGUGCGAAAGCGUGGGGGAGCAAACAGGAUUAGAUACCCUGGUAGUCC
rnacentral:rRNA from 1 species